CCUACGGGAGGCAGCAGUGGGGAAUAUUGGGCAAUGGGCGCAAGCCUGACCCAGCAACGCCGCGUGAAGGAAGACGGCUUUCGGGUUGUAAACUUCUUUUCUCAGGGACGAAGCAAGUGACGGUACCUGAGGAAUAAGCCUCGGCUAACUACGUGCCAGCAGCCGCGGUAAUGCGUAGGGGGCAAGCGUUAGCCGGAUUUACUGGGUGUAAAGGGCGUGUAGGCGGGAAAGCAAGGCAGAUGUGAAAACGAUGGGCUCGACCGAUGGCCUGGCUUUGAAACUGGUUUUCUUGAGUACUGGAGAGGCAGACGGAAUGCCUAGUGUAGCGGUGAAAUGCGUAGAUAUUAGGAGGAACACCAGUGGCGAAGGCGGUCUGCUGGACAGCAACUGACGCUGAGGCGCGAAAGCGUGGGGAGCAAACAGGAUUAGAUACCCGGGUAGUC
rnacentral:rRNA from 1 species